rnacentral:rRNA from 1 species
UACGUAGGGCGCAAGCGUUGUCCGGAAUUAUUGGGCGUAAAGAGCUCGUAGGUGGCUUGUCACGUCGGGUGUGAAAGCUUGGGGCUUAACUCCAGGUCUGCAUUCGAUACGGGCUGGCUAGAGGUAGGUAGGGGAGAACGGAAUUCCUGGUGUAGCGGUGAAAUGCGCAGAUAUCAGGAGGAACACCGGUGGCGAAGGCGGUUCUCUGGGCAUUACCUGACGCUGAGGAGCGAAGUGUGGGAGCGAACAGG